AAGAGACAGCAGUAGCCGCGGUAAUACGUAGGUGGCAAGCGUUGUCCGGAAUUAUUGGGCGUAAAGGGCUCGCAGGCGGUUUCUUAAGUCUGAUGUGAAAGCCCCCGGCUCAACCGGGGAGGGUCAUUGGAAACUGGGAAACUUGAGUGCAGAAGAGGAGAGUGGAAUUCCACGUGUAGCGGUGAAAUGCGUAGAGAUGUGGAGGAACACCAGUGGCGAAGGCGACUCUCUGGUCUGUAACUGACGCUGAGGAGCGAAAGCGUGGGGAGCGAACAGGUUUAGAUACCCCUGUAGUCCCUGUAUCUUAUAC
rnacentral:rRNA from 1 species